UGGGGAAUUUUCCGCAAUGGGGGCAACCCUGACGGAGCAACGCCGCGUGGGGGAGGAAGGUCUGUGGAUUGUAAACUCCUUUUCUCAGGGAAGAAGCUCUGACGGUACCUGAGGAAUCAGCAUCGGCUAACUCCGUGCCAGCAGCCGCGGUAAGACGGAGGAUGCAAGCGUUAUCCGGAAUUAUUGGGCGUAAAGCGUCCGUAGGCGGUUUUUCAAGUCUGCCGUUAAAGACCACAGCUUAACUGUGGGCCGGCGGUGGAAACUGAAGAACUGGAGUAUGGUAGGGGUAGAGGGAAUUCCCAGUGUAGCGGUGAAAUGCGUAGAUAUUGGGAAGAACACCAGUGGCGAAGGCGCUCUACUGGGCCGUAACUGACGCUGAGGGACGAAAGCUAGGGGAGCGAAAGGGAUUAGAUACCCCCGUAGUCC
rnacentral:rRNA from 1 species